GGGCCCGCACAAGCGGUGGAGCAUGUGGUUUAAUUCGAUGAUACGCGAGGAACCUUACCAGGGCUUAAAUGUAAGUUGCAUUAGUUAGAGAUAGCUAUUUCUUCGGACCACUUACAAGGUGCUGCAUGGUUGUCGUCAGCUCGUGCCGUGAGGUGUCAGGUUAAGUCCUAUAACGAGCGCAACCCCUGUUGUUAGUUGCCAGCGAGUCAUGUCGGGAACUCUAACAAGACUGCCGGUGCAAACCGUGAGGAAGGUGGGGAUGACGUCAAGUCCUCAUGGCCCUUACGGGUUGGGCUACACACGUGCUACAAUGGUAGUGACAAUGGGUUAAUCCCCAAAAAUCUAUCUCAGUU
rnacentral:rRNA from 1 species